rnacentral:rRNA from 1 species
AGAGUUUGAUCCUGGCUCAGGAUGAACGCUAGCUACAGGCUUAACACAUGCAAGUCGAGGGGCAGCAUGACCUAGCAAUAGGUUGAUGGCGACCGGCGCACGGGUGAGUAACACGUAUCCAACCUACCGGUUAUUCCGGGAUAGCCUUUCGAAAGAAAGAUUAAUACCGGAUAGUAUAACGAGAAGGCAUCUUUUUGUUAUUAAAGAAUUUCGAUAACCGAUGGGGAUGCGUUCCAUUAGUUUGUUGGCGGGGUAACGGCCCACCAAGACAUCGAUGGAUAGGGGUUCUGAGAGGAAGGUCCCCCACAUUGGAACUGAGACACGGUCCAAACUCCUACGGGAGGCAGCAGUGAGGAAUAUUGGUCAAUGGACGAGAGUCUGAACCAGCCAAGUAGCGUGAAGGAUGACUGCCCUAUGGGUUGUAAACUUCUUUUAUAUGGGAAUAAAGUGAGCCACGUGUGGCUUUUUGUAUGUACCAUACGAAUAAGGAUCGGCUAACUCCGUGCCAGCAGCCGCGGUAAUACGGAGGAUCCGAGCGUUAUCCGGAUUUAUUGGGUUUAAAGGGAGCGUAGGCGGACUAUUAAGUCAGCUGUGAAAGUUUGCGGCUCAACCGUAAAAUUGCAGUUGAUACUGGUCGUCUUGAGUGCAGUAGAGGUAGGCGGAAUUCGUGGUGUAGCGGUGAAAUGCUUAGAUAUCACGAAGAACUCCGAUUGCGAAGGCAGCUUACUGGACUGUAACUGACGCUGAUGCUCGAAAGUGUGGGUAUCAAACAGGAUUAGAUACCCUGGUAGUCCACACAGUAAACGAUGAAUACUCGCUGUUUGCGAUAUAC